rnacentral:rRNA from 1 species
AACGAACGCUGGCGGCAGGCCUAACACAUGCAAGUCGAACGCCCUAGCAAUAGGGAGUGGCAGACGGGUGAGUAACACGUGGGAACCUUCCCUAUAGUACGGAAUAUACCAGGGAAACUUGGAGCAAUACCGUAUACGCCCGAGAGGGGAAAGAUUUAUCGCUAUAGGAUGGGCCCGCGUAGGAUUAGCUAGUUGGUGAGGUAAUGGCUCACCAAGGCGACGAUCCUUAGCUGGUUUGAGAGAACGACCAGCCACACUGGGACUGAGACACGGCCCAGACUCCUACGGGAGGCAGCAGUGGGGAAUAUUGGACAAUGGGCGCAAGCCUGAUCCAGCCAUGCCGCGUGAGUGAUGAAGGCCUUAGGUUGUAAAGCUCUUUUUGCCGGGGACGAUAAUGACGGUACCCGGAGAAUAAGUCCCGGCUAACUUCGUGCCAGCAGCCGCGGUAAG